rfam:Spinacia oleracea cultivar SynViroflay scaffold19962.1, whole genome shotgun sequence.
AUCCCAUGGUGAGGGAAUUCCCUUUGGUACUCCUUAAAAUGAUCCCAAGCUUCAAAAAGUGACUCGUCUCACCUUUGCUCAAAGGAUUGGAUUUUGUGGCGAU